rnacentral:ncRNA from 1 species
UAUGAUAGAGGCGCGGCAAUCAAGAGUAGCUCUCAACCGACCGGCGGGAAACCGGGAGAGCAAAAGGGCUUGCCGCCGAAGGAUGACCGCGUUCCCGUGCGGUCGUACCUGGGCCAUGGGAUAAGAUCUCAUGGACUGUCGCAAGCAAUUGCGGAGAGCUGUC